rnacentral:tmRNA from 1 species
GGGGGCGAAACGGUUUCGACGGGGAUACAUAAGCCCAGGCUGCAUGCCGAGUUCUCUUCACACUCGUUAAUCAGGAAGAAGUUAAACACAGUCGCAGACGACUAUAAUUACGCCGUAGCAGCUUAAUCCCUGCUACCGUUUUCUCCCGACCUUCGCCCAUGGGGUGGGAGAAAACGCCGACUACCUGGGCUAGCCCUUCAGUGCUCCCGCCGCUGAUUGGCGAACCUUAGCGGGAUAGCGCCAAAGGCCCCUUGGCCCUGGAGGGACUGCGGCGCGAUAAGCAACCAAUCAGGGACACGCAUGUAGACGCUUGAGGGGGAGUAUUUUCGGACCCGGGUUCAACUCCCGGCGCCUCCACCA